rnacentral:rRNA from 1 species
UACGGAGGGGACUAGCGUUGUUCGGAAUUACUGGGCGUAAAGCGCGCGUAGGCGGGCUGGUCAGUUGGGGGUGAAAUCCCGAGGCUUAACCUCGGAACUGCCUUCAAUACUGCCAGUCUUGAGUUCGGAAGAGGUGAGUGGAAUUCCUAGUGUAGAGGUGAAAUUCAUAGAUAUUAGGAAGAACACCAGUGGCGAAGGCGGCUCACUGGUCCGAUACUGACGCUGAGGUGCGAAAGCGUGGGGAGCGAACAGGAUUAGAUACCCCGGUAGUCC